GAUGCUUCCAAUAAUUCCUAUGGGUCACCAUUGAUCAGCUUUAUGAAGAACCGUAGUUAUAGACUGUAUGGUUAGAGGGCAAUCCAGUUUGUGUAUUGUGUUUAUUGUAUUGUGAGCAUUCAAUAGAUAAAACUAGAAAGAGCGUGACCUUUUUAUGACAACUUUAGAAACCAGGGGUUAAAAGAGACAUUACAAACUGAAGUUUUUGAGAGGAAACCUCAAGAGUAUACUGGGAAGCCAUGGUGGAACAAGUAGAGAGGAAGCCUCAGAAGGAAGGAGCAAUGGUUGAACCACUUGACAUUGUUGCCUACUACAGGGAGGGUGUAAGAAACAACAUAACCGAGGGAAGAUCUGAACGUUAAACGUUGUCCAAUUAUUAUAAAUGUCUUAUACAUUACGUGUGAAAAUACCAAAAAAAAUUAUAUUCAACAUUUAUGUUUGUAUACAAGCAAUAUUUUGGAUAGUUUGAUAUAAAAAACAAAUGAAGAAAAUGAAGAAAAACAUACAAAUAUAUUUACAAUGGACAAACUUAUACAAUUAGUAUAAAUGUCUUGUAUAUUUAGUACAAAUGUCUCGUACUUUGUAAAAAUAUAAAAAUAUAGUAUUUGACUUUUAUAUAUGUGUGAAAAUGUAAAAAGAAAAAGAAAAAUAGUUAGAGCAUUUGGUACCGUGAGUGAUGACUUCACCUAAAGAAAGGUUAAUGAAUAUUAUGGUCUCGAUGGAAGAGCGACUCCGGUAAAAUAUAUGGAUUAAAUUGAUGCUUUUCUUUUGACGAUGAAGUAGUUGAGUUAUGAAUACGAGGUUUUGCUAACAGCAUUGAAGGCAAGGAUUCCCUAAUAUACUCCAAUUCAUAUUCAAUUUGUAGACCUUCAACUAACUACUCUUGCUAACGAGCAUAUCCAAGUCAAUACAUAAGAUUAAUUAAGAUUAAGUAUUACGUAUGAUAAUUGAAACCCUAUUUAAAUAAAUAAUGACACAUAUAUAAAAAAUAUAUAUAUUUUUAAAAAAAUAAAUAACAAUUUAGAGAAUUUCAUAACUUAGCAUCAAACCUAUUGUAAGAAAGAGUAUUAUACAAUGUAGGGUUUAGGAUCCAAGUCAACCUAAGAUCAAAUUUAAGUUUUAAGAUCAAUUCACAUUCAAAACUAAGGUUUUAAGUUUCAAAAAUAUAUUUCUUAAACCAAUUAAAUGGAAAAAAGAAAAUUACAAAGAAAAUUUCUCCCUCAUCAGUUUCUUUUAUCUUGAAAACUAAAGGAAAUAUAUAUCAAUAUUUGAGAUGGAAAUUCAUAAUCUUAGGUGGUGUUUGUUUUUUUGGCUUUUUGCUGAAAACUAUUUAGUUUUAGAAUUUAGGUUUUUUUUUUUUUUUACUUUUUCAUGACUUAUAAUAAACUUUUUACUAAAUAGAAAAAACCAAAAUAUGUGGUUUUUUCUAAAUAGAAAAAAUAACACAAUGGUUUUUUUUACUUUUUAAUACUUAAUAGAAAUAAAAUACUACAAAAACAAACAUCUUAAUAUUUAAUACUAUUAAGUAUUAAGGUUCUAUUUAGAAUUAAGUAAAAAAACAAACACCACCUUAGAAACACAAAGAACAAAGAGAGUAUGAAGAGACCAUACCAUGAGAGAUUUUCCGAAAGGUUGGUAAACCAUGGUAAUCACCUUUGAGUCUUGCUGAGAAAAACAAACCUUAUUUAUUUUUAUUUUUUUAUCAUUUUUUCUCUUGUGUGGUGUACAUUUAAGAAAAACAAAUCUCAAAAAAAAAAAAAAACACAAACCAAAUAAUGCCAGAAUUUGGGUUGAGAAACACCCAAAAGAUAGUGGCCCAAUACAUGUGCCUAAGAAAAUCUUCAUGAGCCGAUAAACAUAGUCACAAAACUAGUAACAGCCUUGUAGCCAUAGUUGGUGUAGUAUGAGCAAGUGGGGUAUGAAGUAGGUAGGUGAGUAUUGCAAUGAAAUUUCCAGCACUGCUUCCUGAAUUAAGAAAUCACAUACCCAAGUCUUAGUCGUCGUCGUCGUCGUACCGUGUGAGAACCGGGAAGAAUCUUUGCUCGUAGACUGGCUUUUGUAGUCUUUCUUUAACAAUUACAAGUUAUCUGAAUUCCCUUCAUCCUCCUAUAUAAUAUUGUUUUGGUCUUGUUCUUGUUGCAUUGUGGCUAGGCAUCUCCAUGGAAGGAAGGAGGAUGAAUCAAGUUCCUUUGUAUGAAUCAAUUUCUCUGCUCUUUUUUUUUUUCAAUCCUUGAAUCGAAUCAUUGCUUAGUUCUUGCUUUAAUUUCUCCAUUUUCUGUUGGGUCUUUGAUUGCAGGUUUAGCUCUGCAAGAGAACUGGGAAAUUUAAUUGUGACCUCCAAUCUAAUCGACUCUGCUUUGACUAAAAUUCUUGAGCUUCAAAGAGACCAAACAGCCUUGCUUUCCCCCGUUCAAUACAGAGUUUUUUUAUCCAUCUCCCAACUGCACAAUUGUAGCUUUUGUCUCUUCACCUGACUGCACUCAAAACCCUCUUCCUGGACAAGGAGAUUUAGUUCCCUCUCCUCUCUUUGACUUCCUCUGCACCGAAGAAUACAAGUCCGUCUCCAUUAACAGAGCUGCAUUAACCCUCUUUACCUCUCUCCACGAUCAUCUCUCUGGACUAAAAACUCAGGUCAAAAUAUGAUAGUUGUUUUUAUUUUCGUUUCCUUUUUGUUAACAAUUGUGAGACAUGAAACAGCUUGACCAUGAGAUCUCUCUCAUAGAGUCAAACUACCUGAAGAAGAAGAAGACGUUACACAUAUCCAUCUGCGUUGCAUCAUCGCAUUACCCAUUGAUCGGUUGUGAUUCAACUCUUAAUAGGAAGACAGUAGAACUGGUGUUGGUAUCUGUUUUUAGAUCAGCUUAUAUGUAUCUUGUUGCUAAAAAGGGAAUGUUUAGAAGUGAGAUUAAUGGGAUUAUUCUGACAUGGAUUUCAUAUGGUUACCUGUUUUGCAGUUGACUGUGAUUGAAGGUCAAUUAAUCAUCACUGGGCACUCCCUGGGAGGAGCCGUUGCUUCUCUCUUCACCUUAUGCCUGCUAGAUGAAAAUUUAUUAAAACCCAAAUGCCGCCCCUUUUGUAUCACCUUUGGUUCACCCCUCGUCGGCGGCUUUGGCCUCCAACACUCCAUAUGGAAUUCUUUCUUCCUGCAUGUAGUGUCUAACCAAGACCCAGUCCCCGGUCUCUUCCUCCCAUCUGGCAGAGGCAGAUCUACGCCCACAUCCUCCCAUUCACAAACUACCGGUUACAAGCCCUUUGGGACAUAUCUCUUGUGCUCUGAACUUGGUUGUGCUUGUUUUGACAACCCUGAUUUAAUUUUGGAAUUGCUGAAAGUCAUAUCAUCAGAGGUUGCCGGAGGAUUGCAGGAUGUUGAUUAUGGGGAGAUUUUAAGAAACCUCAAGGAGAGGGCAAUCUGCAAGGGACUUCCGCAGGUGGGUGAAAGGUUUGCAAAUCCAUUUUCAGCUGGGAUCAUCAUGGAACUUGAGACAAUUGGAUUUAAUCAAACAAAGGUAAACAGCUUUCUCCCAUCUAAUGAUGUUAUGGAACAUGGUUUACACCUCAUUAAAUACUGCAACAACUGCCCUAUUUAGAUUUACCUUCUUGUUCUUUGGGAUUUUCCAUAACUAGACUCAUUUUUUAAUUUCAUGGCAGCUGCUGCAGCAUAACAUUGAUAUCGAGACUGUGAUAAGCGCAAUGGAAGCGGAAGCAAGAAACCUAACCCAGAAAAAUAAAGCUUCCGAUGCCAAGAAACUGAAUGAAAUAAAAAUAGACAUGACCCGGCUAGAAUUGUAUAAGAAGAAUUCGAACAUGGGUUACUACGAUUGCUUCAAAAACCAGGGGUCUAAAAGGGACAUCCACGUUGAACAGUUUAGGGUAAACCUCACAGGGUACUGGGAAGGCAUGGUUGCACAAAUACAGAGGAAGCCUCAUAAGGAAGGAGCAACAUUUCGAACCCGUUGGCUCUAUGCAGGGACGGUUUAUAGAAGAAUGGUUGAACCACUGGACAUUGCUGCCUUCUACAGAGAGGGUAGAAAAGACUACAUGAAUAAAAGAUCUGCACAUUACAAGCUGUUGCAGGAAUGGUAUGAGGAAGAUGUGAAACCCCCCUCUAGAGAUAAGCUUGAUUCCAAGAAGCAAAAGGUGUCCAGUAUCCUAACUGAGGAUUCUUGCUUUUGGGCACAUGUGGAGGAGGCUAUCUUGUCAUGCGAAUUGCUCAAGAGUGAAAACUGUAAUCUUGAGGAGGGAAAAUCAUCAUGGGAUAAUCUGGUUAAGUUCGAGGAGUAUGUAAUGGAACAGAUUGACAACUAUGCAGUGUCCCCUGAGAUUUUCUUGGAGAAAAGCAGCUUCAUGAAAUGGAGGGGACUGUAUGAGGGCUACAUAGAUACUCGCAGUAAUUCCCAUAGCUCGCCAUUGAUCAGCUUUAUGAAGAAUCGUAGUUAUAGACAAUAUGGAUAGAGGGGUAAUCCAGUUUGUGUGUUGUGUGUAUUGUUUUGUGAGCAUUCAAUGGAUAGAACUAGAAAGAGUGUGACCUUUUCCUUUUUUUUUUCAGUUGCUGCCCAUAUUCUCAGCACUAUUUUCUUCCUUCUUUUCCUCAGUUUUUUUGUUAAGAAAUGAAUAUUAUGAUGUUGCCGGGAUGCACUUUCAUUUUUGUUCCAUUACAUUGUGUUUUAUUCAUAUCCUAAACAAAUAAAUGUAAACAAGAAAAUCAAAUGAGACUUCAAAGAGUCUGUUCCUUUUAAAGCAAGGGAAAAAAAGGACAUGUUUGUUUACUUCCACAGCUGGGUAGAUUCAACUCCACCAAAAUUGGCAACAACUUCCCAUUGAAAAAUUCCUUUUAAGCUUGAAUGACAUAAAACUAGAUAUGUUCCAGCUAGAAUGGUACAAGAAAGAAAUCAAAAGAUGAGCACAAUGGGUUAUUAUGACAGCUUUAGAAACCUGGGGUGUAAAAGAGACAUUAAAAUGGAACCGAGGGGAAGACAUUGUAGAACAAGUAAAGAGGAAGCCUCACCAGGAAGGGCAGCUUUGCAAACCCUCUGGCUCUGUACAGGAACGAAUUAUAGAAAGAUGGUUGAACCACUUGACAUUGCUGCCUACCACAGAGAGGGUGGAAGAAACUACAUAACCAAUGGAGGAUGUAAACAUUACACGCUAUUAGAGCAAUGAUGCAAUGAAGAGAAGGGGACUUUGUCUUCCAAUAAUUUAAGAAAAUAAAACCAAAUAAUGCCAGAAUUUGGGUUGAGAAACACCCAAAAGAUAGUGGCCCAAUAUGAAGUAGUCACAAAACUAGUAACAGCCUUGUGGCCAUAGUUGGUGUAGUAUGAGCAAGUGGGGUAUGAAGUAGGUAGGUGAGUAUUGCAAUGAAAUUUCCAGCACUGCUUCCUGAAUUAAGAAAUCACAUACUCAAGUCUUAAUCGUUGUCAUCAUACCGUGUGAGAACCGAGGAAGAAUCUUUGCUCUUAGACUGGAUUUUGUAGUCUUUCUUUAACAAUUACAAGUUAUCUGAAUUCCCUUCAUCCUCCUAUAUAAUAUUGUUUUUGGUCUUGUUCUUGUUGCAUUGUGGCUAGGCAUCUCCAUGGGAGGAAGGAGGAUGAAUCAAGUUCCUUUGUAUGAAUCAAUUUCUCUGCUCUUUUUUUUUUCAAUCCUUGAAUCGAAUCAUUGCUUAGUUCUUGCUUUAAUUUCUCCAUUUUCUGUUGGGUCUUUGAUUGCAGGUUUAGCUCUGCAAGAAAACUGGGAAAUUUAAUUGUGACCUCCAAUCUAAUCGACUCUGCUUUGACUAAAAUUCUUGAGCUUCAAAGAGACCAAACAGCCUUGCCUUCCCCCGUUCAAUACAGAGUUUUUUAUCCAUCUCCCAACUGCACAAUUGUAGCUUUUGUCUCUUCACCUGACUGCACUCAAAACCCUCUUCCUGGACAAGGAGAUUUAGUUCCCUCUCCUCUCUUUGACUUCCUCUGCACCGAAGAAUACAAGUCCGUCUCCAUUAACAGAGCUGCAUUAACCCUCUUUACCUCUCUCCACGAUCAUCUCUCUGGACUAAAAACUCAGGUCAAAAUAUGAUAGUUGUUUUUAUUUUCGUUUCCUUUUUGUUAACAAUUGGGAGACAUGAAACAGCUUGACCAUGAGAUCUCUCUCAUAGAGUCAAACUACCUGAAGAAGAAGAAGACGUUACACAUAUCCAUCUGCGCUGCAUCAUCGCAUUACCCAUUGAUCGGUUGUGAUUCAACUCUUAAUAGGAAGACAGUAGAACUGGUGUUGGUAUCUGUUUUUAGAUCAGCUUAUAUGUAUCUUGUUGCUAAAAAGGGAAUGUUUAGAAGUGAGAUUAAUGGGAUUAUUCUGACAUGGAUUUCAUAUGGUUACCUGUUUUGCAGUUGACUGUGAUUGAAGGUCGAUUAAUCAUUACUGGGUACUCGAUGGGAGGAUCCGUUGCUUCUCUCUUCACCUUAUGCCUGUUAGAAGUCAUCAAUUUAUCAAAACCCAAAUGCCGCCCCAUUUGUAUCACCUUUGGUUCACCCCUCAUAGGCGACUUUGGCCUCCAACACUCCAAUUGGAAUUCUUUCUUCUUGCAUGUAGUGUCCAACCAAGAUCUAGUCCCCGGACUCUUCCUCCCAUCCGACAGAUCUCCUCCCACAUCCUCCCAUUCACAAACUACUGGUUACAAGCCCUUUGGGACAUAUCUCUUGUGCUCUGAACUUGGUUGUGCUUGUUUUGACAACUCUGAUUUAAUUUUGGAAUUGCUGAAAGUCAUAUCAUCAGAGGUUGCCAGAGGAUUGCGGGAUGUUGAUUACAGGAAGAUUUUAAGAAACCUCAAGGAGAGGGCAAUCUGCAAGGGACUUCCGCAGGUGGGUGAAAGGUUUGCAAAUCCAUUUUCAGCUGGGAUCAUCAUGGAACUUGAGACGAUUGGAUUUAAUGAAACAAAGGUAAACAGCUUUCUCCCAUCUACUGAUGUUAUGGAACAUGGUUUACACAUCAUUAAAUACUGCAACAACUGCCCUAUUUAGAUUUAGGGCAAUGAUGAAAAUAUCAGUAAUCACGGAUAUAUCAGUAUUUCGAUUUUACGGAUAUAUCGGAUAUAUCGGAGAUAUAUCGGUAGAUAUUUUGAAAAAAAAUAUCGGCAAGCUUAAAAUUGUUAAAAACUCAUGAAAAUAUAAGAAAAUCUCAUAAUAAUAUAAUUAAAAGUAUAAUAGACAUUUUAAAGUUAUUUUAUUGAAAAUUUUGAUAUAUGUAUAACAUGAUUUAUCAUAUUUGAUAAUAAUAUCGUAUGCGUCGAUAAAAAUAUGAAUUUUAUAAGUGUACAUUUAUUAUUAAAUUACACCUAAUAUUAUGAUAUCUGAUUAUAAUAUGUCUAAUUUUAAAAUAUAUAUUAGUAUUAAAAUAUGAUCCAUUUAAUUCAAUUGUAUUAAACAAUAUAAAAUAAAUAAUGAUAUAUAUAUAUAUAUAUAUAAUUUUUUAAUAUUUAAUUAAUUAUUAAUGAUAUUAAAAACAUUAUGAAGAAAAUUAUAUAAUUUUUUAAUUUUUGGUAAUUAAUUAAAAGACUUUGCAUUUAAUUAUAAAUUAAUUAUAAUUAAUUUACUCUUUAAAAUAUUCUUAUAUUUUCUUUAUAUAAUGAAUUUAAGUAUAUAUAUAGUUGUUGCAUAUUAUAUAUUAAAGGACAACUUAGCCCAAGUGGUAAGCGAGUGAACCCCAAUGUGAGGCAUUGUAGCACGUGCACUGUAGCAUCACUGUAGCGACUCUGACUUUCGUUGACCCGCAUUGACUACACGAUAUAUCGGAGAAAAAUCACUGAUUUAUCGCCAAAUCACCAAUAAAUCGCCGAUUUCUCGCGAUAAAUACCAAAAUAUAGUGUCGAAACCCUUCGAUACACGAUUUUUCGGCGCAUUUUCUUACUUGGAUUUACCUUUUUGUUCUUUGGGAUCUUCCAUGACUCAUUUUUUAAUGCCAUUUUAUUUUCCUUUUUGUUUCUAAAUUUUUAAAAAAUCGUUUUCACUUCUUUUUUUUAAGAAAAUUUUGGCAAAUUUUGAAAAUAUAAUAUUAGUGUUUUCACUUCUUUCUUUUUUUUUUUUUUCUUUUUUUUUUUAAACUCAAUUUUCUAAAAAAUGAAAAUAGAAAAACAUUGUCUAAACAUGUUUGUAAACUUAAUUUUAUUUUUUUAUAAAUGAAAAAAAAAAUCUAAAUGAGUAAGGCUUUAUUAAUUUUAAUUUUUUUCUUUUCCUUAUAUUUUCUUAUUUUAUUCCAAAUUUUCUUGCAACCAAACAUAAUCUAAAUGUUUACAACUUUUAUUGUAAGGAAUGAAUGACACUACUUUGUGAACUUUUAUGAUAAUAUUUUGAAUCAUAAAUUGUGUUUUUUUUAGUAAUAUCAAUUUUAUUACCAAUGACUUAAUUGUUAAUAACAAAAUAUAAUAUUUAUAAAUAUUUUUAUUCUCAACAGGCUACAAUUUUUACUCUUGUGAUAAAAAAAAUUUUGUCAUAAAUUACACAUUAUGAUGAGUUUUUCUAUUUUCCUUAUCAGCCAAUUCAACAAAUAUCAUAUAUAUUGUAAUGGCUAACAAAUUUUCACAUAAAUUUUUUAUAAGAUAAAGUAGAAUGGAAUUAUUCAAUUUCAAAAAAAAAAAAAAUGGUACCUAAUGAAAAAGAUAAAAUAUAUAGAUCAUCUCGAAGAAAUCAGGAAAGAUAAAUGAUGAGACCAUAUAUAGGACCCUUGAUGGAGACUAUUUUAAUUGAAGUGGUGUGCUCCUUCCGACUCAGAACAUGUUCAGCAUUGCACACAAACUAACAUCGUCGAUCUUGAGUAUGAAAAAGGUGAUUAGAUUCCAAGGUUGUCGUUUGUCCCAACUCCUCAUAUUAGAGGUGAUGCUCAAGCUAACGUGCCUCGCAGUUGAGCCCCGGCCAAUCGGUCUAAUAUGCUUUUCCAAUGGUGAGUUUCACUGCCACCAUGUAUUACAUUAAUUCCGAUAGCGCACAAGUUGUGUUUGUGCUAUUGCUUUUUGCCCUCACAAACAUAUACACAAGAGACAUUCAGACCAGAUCUGUUCUACCAUCCUCUAGGAAAGCAUUGUAGGUCAUUUGAAAUUGGGAUUUCAGCACCAGAGUCAAAUUGCCUUCCUUCCUGAAAGAUGAGCAUUUUUUAUACUCUUACAUCGGCUUUUAUGGAAAUGAAAUCAGCUUCUCAUUCUGUUACAUUUUUCAAUUUUGCUGCCUAUAACUGCUCACUGCCUGUUUGUGAGACAUUAUCCAGAUUUUCCCUGAUCAAUUAUAGAGAGGUCAUUGGACUCAUCCAUGAUUGGAAUUUCCUGUUAUCAUUAUUUGCAAAUCAUCAACCAUUUGUCAUGAUAUCUUAAGUUAAGCUGAGCACGAAUUUCAGCUAAGAUCCUCAGAACUAGAAAUAUGCACUGCAGGUAUUACUUGAUAUGUGAAUAUCCAAUACAAUAUUUUUUUACUAAGAGGAAUACGAAUUUGAAACACUUUCCAAUAAUUUAUCAAGUCAUAUUUUCGUGCUGUCGUGAUACAUGUGUCUACUGUAUGCAUGGCUUUUCUUUUCUACACAUGCCUUUAUCUUUGCACAUGACUCUUUUGAUACACGCCAGCAUCAAGGCAAUUGCCUAAAUCUAAAUCACAUCCUUUGUGUCACGUCUUCCUUGUUACCACGGUCCUCUUGUACACCAUGGUCCCUUAAUGUAACUUGUGCCACAAGCCCUUUGUGCAUGAAUUCAAAUUGUUCAAUCAUUUCGCCAUUUACACCUUUUAAGGUCCAAUAAGCGUAUACAAGAGACUACACUCAUUCUAGAUGAUAAAGUACAUUCAACUAACUACUCUUGCUAAUGAGCAUAUCCAAGUCAAUACAUAAGAUUAAUUAUUACAUAUGGUAAUUGAAACCCUGUUUAAAUAAAUAGUGACACAAAUAUAAAAAAUAUAUAUAUUUAAAAAUAAAUAAAUAACAAUUUAGAGAAUUUCAUAACUUAGUAUCAAACCUAUUGUAGGAAAGAGUAUUAUACAAUGUAGGGUUUAGGAUCAAAGUUAACCUAAGAUCAAUUUUAAGUUUUAAGACCAAUUCAAAUUCAAAACUAAGGUUUUAAGUUUCAAAAAUAUAUCUCUUAAACCAAUUAAAUAGAAAAAAGAAAAUUACAAAGAAAAUUUCUUCCUCAUCGGUUUCUUUUAUCUUGAAAACUAAAGGAAAUAUAUAUCAAUAUUUGAGAUGGAAAUUCAUAAUCUUAGAAACACAAAGAACAAAGAGAGUAUGAAGAGACCAUACCAUGAGAGAUUUUCCAAAAGGUUGGUAAACCAUGGUAAUCACCUUUGAGUUUUGCUGAGAAAAACAAACCUUAAUUUUUAUUUUUAUUUUUUUAUCAUUUUUUCUCUUGUGGUGUACAUUUAAGAAAAACAAAUCUUAAAAAAAAAAAAAAAAAAACCAAAUAAUGCCAGAAUUUGGGUUGAGAAACACCCAAAAGAUAGUGGCCCAAUACAUGUGCCUAAGAAAAUCUUCAUGAGCCGAUAAACAUAGUCACAAAACUAGUAACAGCCUUGUAGCCAUAGUUGGUGUAGUAUGAGCAAGUGGGGUAUGAAGUAGGUAGGUGAGUAUUGCAAUGAAAUUUCCAGCACUGCUUCCUGAAUUAAGAAAUCACAUACCCAAGUCUUAGUCGUCGUCGUCGUACCGUGUGAGAACCGGGAAGAAUCUUUGCUCGUAGAGUGGCUUUUGUAGUCUUUCUUUAACAAUUACAAGUUAUCUGAAUUCCCUUCAUCCUCCUAUAUAAUAUUGUUUUUGGUCUUGUUCUUGUUGCAUUGUGGCUAGGCAUCUCCAUGGAAGGAAGGAGGAUGAAUCAAGUUCCUUUGUAUGAAUCAAUUUCUCUGCUCUUUUUCUUUUCAAUCCGUGAAUCGAAUCAUUGCUUAGUUCUUGCUUUAAUUUCUCCAUUUUCUGUUGGGUCUUUGACUGCAGGUUUAGCUCUGCAAGAGAACUGGGAAAUUUAAUGGUGACCUCCAAUCUAAUCGACUCUGCUUUGACUAAAAUUCUUGAGCUUCAAAGAGACCAAACAGCCUUGCUUUCCUCCGUUCAAUACAGAGUUUUUUAUCCAUCUCCCAAGUGCACAAUUGUAGCUUUUGUCUCUUCACCUGACUGCACUCAAAACCCUCUUCCUGGACAAGGAGAUUUAGUUCCGUCUCCUCUCUUUGACUUCCUCUGCACCGAAGAAUACAAGUCCGUCUCCAUUAACAGAGCUGCAUUAACCCUCUUUACCUCUUUCCACGAUCAUCUCUCUGGACUAAAAACUCAGGUCAAAAUAUGAUAGUUGUUUUUAUUUUCGUUUCCUUUUUGUUAACAAUUGUGAGACAUGAAACAGCUUGACCAUGAGAUCUCUCUCAUAGAGUCAAACUACCUGAAGAAGAAGAAGACGUUACACAUAUCCAUCUGCGUUGCAUCAUCGCAUUACCCAUUGAUCGGUUGUGAUUCAACUCUUAAUAGGAAGACAGUAGAACUGGUGUUGGUAUCUGUUUUUAGAUCAGCUUAUAUGUAUCUUGUUUCUAAAAAAGGUAAGUUUAGAAGUGAGAUUAAUGGGAUUAUUCUGACAUGGAUUCCAUAUGGUUACCUGUUUUGCAGUUGACUCAGAUUGAAGGUCAAUUAAUCAUCACUGGGCACUCCCUGGGAGGAUCCGUUGCUUCUCUCUUCACCUUAUGCCUGCUAGAUGGAAAUUUAUUAAAACCCAACUGCCGCCCCUUUUGUAUCACCUUUGGUUCACCCCUCAUCGGCGGCUUUGGCCUCCAACACUCCAUAUGGAAUUCUUUCUUCCUGCAUGUAGUGUCUAACCAAGACCCAGUCCCCGGUCUCUUCCUCCCAUCUGGCAGAGGCAGAUCUACGCCCACAUCCUCCCAUUCACAAACUACCGGUUACAAGCCCUUUGGGACAUAUCUCUUGUGCUCUGAACUUGGUUGUGCUUGUUUGGAAAAGCCUGAUUUAAUUUUGGGAUUGCUGAAAGUCAGAUCAUCCGAGGUUGCCGGAGGAUUGCAGGAUGUUGAUUAUGGGGAGAUUUUAAGAAACCUCAAGGAGAGGGCAAUCUGCAAGGGACUUCAGCAGGUGGGUGAAAGGUUUGCAGAUCCUUUUACAGCUGGGAUCAUCAUGGACCUUGAGAUAAUUGGAUUUGAUCAAACAAAGGUAAACAGCUAGCUUUCUCCCAUCUAAUGAUGUUAUGAAACAUGGUUUACACUUCACCAAAUACUGCAACAACUGCCCUAUUUAGAUUUGCCGUCUUGUUCUUUGGGAUCUUCCAUAACUAGACUCAUUUUUUAAUUUCAUGGCAGCUGCUGCAGCAUAACAUUGAUAUCGAGACUGUGAUAAGCACAAUGGAAGAGGAAGCCAGAAACCCAACCAAAAAAAAUAAAGCUUUCGAUGCCAAGAUUCUGAAUCACAAAAAAAAAGACAUGGCCGGGCUAGAAUGGUAUAAGAAGAAAUCAAAAGAUCUGAACAAGGGUUACUACGACUGCUUCAAAAACCAGGGGUCAAAAAGGGACAUUAAAAUUGAACAGUAUGGGGGACACCUCACAUUAUACUGGAAAGACAUGGUUGCACAAGUACAGAGGAAGCCCCAGAAGGAAGGAGCAACAUUUCGAACCCGUUGGCUCUAUGCAGGGACGGUUUAUAGAAGAAUGGUUGAACCACUGGACAUUGCUGCCUUCUACGUAGAGGGUGGAACAGACUACAUGAAGAAUGAAAGAUCUCUUCAUUACAAGCUGUUGCAGCAAUGGUAUGAGGAAGAUGUGAAACCCCCCUCUAAGGAUAAGCUUGAUUCCAAGAAGCAAAAGGUGUCUGGUAUCCUAACUGAGGAUUCUUGCUUUUGGGCACAUGUGGAGGAGGCUAUCUUGUCAUGCGAAUUGCUUAAGAGUGAAAACUGUACUCUUGAGCAGGAAAAAUCAUCAUGGGAUAAUCUGGUUAAGUUCGAGGAGUAUGUAAUGGAACAGAUUAACAACUAUGCAGUGUCCCCUGAGAUUUUCUUGGGGGAAAGCAGCUUCAUGAAAUGGUGGGGACUGUAUGAGGGCUACAUAUAUGCUCGCAGUAAUUCCCAUAGGUCACCAUUGAUCAGCUUUAUGAAGAACGGUAGUUAUACAGAGUAUCGUUAGAGGGGUAAUCCAGUUUGUGUGUUGUGUGUAUUGUUUUGUGAGCAUUCAAUGGAUAGAACUAGAAAGAGUGUGACCUUUUUCCUUUUUUUCUUCUAGUUGCUGCCCAUAUUCUCAGCACUAUUUUCUUCCUUCUUUUCCUCAGUUUUUUCUUAAGAAAUGAAUAUUAUGAUGUUGCUGGGAUGCACUUUCAUUUUUGUUCCAUUACAUUGUGUUUUAUUCAUAUCCUAAACAAAUAAAUGUAAACAAGAAAAUCAAAUAAGACUUCAAAGAGUCUGUUCCUUUUAAAGCAAGGGAAAAAAAGGACAUGUUUGUUUACUUCCACAGCUGGGUAGAUUCAACUCCACCAAAAUUGGCAACAACUUCCCAUUGAAAAAUUCCUUCUAAGCUUGAAUGACAUAAAACUAGAUAUGUUCCAGCUAGAAUGGUACAAAAAAGAAAUCAAAAGAUGAGCACAAUGGGUUAUUAUGACAGCUUUAGAAACCAUCUUACAACACAUCCAUCAGAAUUUAGACUAUUCAUAGAAACAUUCUUAACAUGUAAAUCUACUAUUGCCAUGCACGUCAACAUAGAAUUUCUAAAAUGAUUGAAUAAAAUAAAUAAAACAAAAGAAACCCUUCCAAGAGAAUUUCAUAAUCUAAUGUCAAAUCUAUUACGAAGAUGAACAUGUAAAAUUUAAGGUUUAUAAUCAAAGUCGACUUGAAUCUGAGUUUUAAAACCAAUUUGCAGUUUUUAAGUUUGGAGACUAGAUCUCUUAAACCAAUUAAAUGUAAAAAACUAAAAAGAAAACUUCUUCAAAUUUUGAAAUGAGAAUGAGAAUGCAAUUCCUAACUAGUUUCUUCAUCAAAAAUCCCGAAAAAAAAAAAAAAAGAAGAGAGAGAGAGACCAUAGACGCCAGUGUUUGGGUUUAGAACCACCCAAGAGAGAGUAGUCCAAUAUAUGGGCUUAAGAAAAUCCUCAUGGGCCUAAGCUAAGACUAGGAACAAUCUUGUAUCCGUGGUUGGUUUAGUAUGAGCAUGUGUACUGCGAAGGAAGUAGCUGAGAAUUGCAAUGGAAUUUCCAGUACUGCUUCCUGAACGAACAAAUCGCAUACCCAAGAUUUGGUCGUCAACGCCAUGCUGGGUGAGAACCGGGGAAGCAUCUUCGCUCGUUGACGAGCUUUUGUAGUCCUUCUUUAACAAUUAUAAGGCAUCUGAAUUCCCUUCAUCCUCCCACACCAUUGUUUUUGGUCUUGUUCUUGUUGCUUUGUGACUACGCAUCUCCAUGGAAGGAAGGAGGAUGAACCAAGUUCCUUUGUAUGCAUCAAUUUUACUGUUUUUUUUUUCCUUUUUAAUCUUUGGAUCGAAUCAUUGCUUAGUUCUUGCUUAAUUUCUCCAUUUUAUGUUGGGUCUUUGAUUGCAGGUUUAGCUCUGCGCGAGAACUGGGAAAUUUAAUUGUGACCUCCAAUCUAAUCGACUCUGCUUUGACUAAAAUUCUUGAGCUUCAAAGAGACCAAACAGCCUUGCCUUCCCCCGUUCAAUACAGAGUUUUUUAUCCAUCUCCCAAGUGCACAAUUGUAGCUUUUGUCUCUUCACCUGACUGCACUCAAAACCCUCUUCCUGGACAAGGAGAUUUAGUUCCCUCUCCUCUCUUUGACUUCCUCUGCACCGAAGAAUACCCUUCCGUCUCCAUUAACGGAGCCGCAUUAACCCUCUUUACCUCUCUCUACGAUCAUCUCUCUGGACUAAUAGAUGAGGUCAAAAUCUGAUACUUGUUUUAAUUUACGUUAACUUUUCGUUAACAAUUGUGAGACACGUAUAUAUAUAUAUAUAUAUAUAUAUCUUGUGGAUAAAAGGAAAGUUUACAAGUGAGAAUAGUGGCAUUUUUCUGACAGAUUUCACACCGUUGCUUGUUUUGCACUUGACUGUGAUUGAAGGUCGAUUAAUCAUCACUGGGCACUCGAUGGGAGGAUCCGUUGCUUCUCUCUUCACCUUAUGCCUGCUAGAAGUCAUUAAUAUAUCAAAACCCAAAUGCCGCCCCAUUUGCAUCACAUUUGGUUCACCCCUCAUAGGCGACUUUGGCUUCCAACACUCCAAUUGGAAUUCUUUCUUCUUGCAUGUAGUGUCCAACCAAGAUCUAGUCCCCGGACUCUUCCUCCCAUCCGGCAGAUCUCCUCCCACAUCCUCCCAUUCACAAACUACUGGUUACAAGCCCUUUGGGACAUAUCUCUUGUGCUCUGAACUUGGUUGUGCUUGUUUUGACAACCCUGAUUUAAUUUUGGAAUUGCUGAAAGUCAUAUCAUCAGAGGUUGCCGGAGGAUUGCGGGAUGUUGAUUACAGGAAGAUUUUAAUAAACCUCAAGGAGAGGGCAAUCUUCAAGGGACUUCAGCAGGUGGGUGAAAGGUUUGCAGAUCCCUUGUCAGCUGGGAUCAUCAUGGACCUUGAGAUAAUUGGAUUUGAUCAAACAAAGGUAAACAGCUUUCUCCCAAUUAAUGAUGUAGCAUGGUUUACACUCAACUUCACCAAAACCUGCAACAACUGCCCUAUUUAGAUUUGCCUUCCGGUUCUUUGGGUUCUUCUAUAACUUCUCAUUUUUUAAAUCCAUGGCAGCUGUUGCGGCACAACAUUGAUAUCAACACUGUGAUAAGGAUACUGGGAGCGGAAGCCAGAAUCCUAGCCCACAAAAAUAAAGCUUCUGAUGCCAAGAAACUGAAUGACAUAAAAAUACACAUGGCCCAGCUAGAAUGGUAUAAGAAGAAAUCAAAAGAUCUGAACAAGGGUUACUACGACUGCUUCAAAAACCAGGGGUUAAAAAGGGACAUUAAAAUUGAACAGUAUAGGGGACACCUCACAAUAUACUGGAAAGACAUGGUUGCACAAGUACAGAGGAAGCCCCAGAAGGAAGGAGCAUCAUUUCGAACCAGUUGGCUCUAUCCAGGGACAACUUAUAGAAGAAUGGUUGAACCACUGGACAUUGCUGCCUUCUACAGAGAGGGUAGAACAGACUACAUAAACAAUGGAAGAUCUCCUCAUUACAAGCUGUUGCAGCAAUGGUAUGAGGAAGAUGUGAAGCCCCCAUCCAGAGAUAAGCUCGAUUCCAAGAAACUAAAGGUGUCUGGUAUCCUAACUGAGGAUUCUUUGUUUUGGGCACAUGUGGAGGAGGCUCUCUUGUCAUGCGAAUCGCUCAAGAGUGCAAACUCUACUCUUGAGCAGAGAAAAUCAUCAUGGGAUAAUCUGGUUAAGUUUGGGGAGUAUGUAAUGGAACAGAUUGGAAACUAUGCAGUGUCCCCUGAGAUUUUCUUGGGGGAAAGCAGCUUCAUGAAAUGGUGGGGAGUGUAUGAGGACUACAUAGAUGCUUCCAAUAAUUUCUAUGGGUCACCAUUGAUCAACUUUAUGAAGGACCGUAGUUAUAGACUGUAUGGUUAGAGGGCAAUCCAGUUUGUGUAUUGUGUUUAUUGUAUUGUGAGCAUUCAAUAGAUAAAACUAGAAAGAGCGUGACCUUUUUAUGACAACUUUAGAAACCAGGGGUUAAAAGAGACAUUACAAAUUGAAUUUUUUGAGAGGAAACCUCAAGAGUAUACUGGGAAGCCAUGGUGGAACAAGUAGAGAGGAAGCUUCGGAAGGAAGGAUCAAUGGUUGAACCACUUGACAUUGUUGCCUACUUCAGGGAGGGUGUAAGAAACAACAUAACCGAGGGAAGAUCUGAACAUUAAACAUUGUACAAUUAUUGUAAAUGUCUUAUACAUUACGUGUGAAAAUACCAAAAAAAAUUAUAUUCAACAUUUAUGUUUGUAUACAAGCAAUAUUUUGGAUAGUUUGAUAUAAAAAACAAAUGAAG
rnacentral:lncRNA from 1 species